CCUACGGGAGGCAGCAGUAAGGAAUAUUGGACAAUGCUCGCAAGAGUGAUCCAGCCAUGCCGCGUGCAGGAAGAAUGCCCUAUGGGUAGUAAACUGCUUUUGAACUAGAGAAAACCCCAGUACGUGUACUGGGCUGAUAGUAUAGUUAGAAUAAGCAUCGGCUAACUUCGUGCCAGCAGCCGCGGUAAGACGAAGGAUGCAAGCGUUAUCCGGAUUCAUUGGGUUUAAAGGGAGCGUAGGUGGACUUAUAAGUCAGUGGUGAAAUCUCCGAGCUUAACUCGGAAAUUGCCAUUGAUACUGUAGGUCUUGAGUACAGUUGCUGUGGGCGGAAUAUGACAUGUAGUGGUGAAAUACAUAGAGAUGUCAUAGAACACCGAUUGCGAAGGCAGCUCACAAAGCUGUAACUGACACUGAGGCUCGAAAGUGCGGGGAUCAAACAGGAUUAGAUACCCUGGUAGUCCGCACCGUAAACGAUGAUUACUCGCUGCUAGGGGGCACCUUAGUGGCUUAGCGAAAGAGAAGUAGUAAUUACACGUGGAGUUAGCGGCGACGGAGAACGUUAAGAAGUUAGAGGCGNGAGAGNGCGACGGACGACGACGAGGAGGUAGG
rnacentral:rRNA from 1 species